CCUUGUUUGUUUACUCUUCUCGAGCUAAUUCUUCACUAUUAUUAUCUACAUUAUUUUCACUGGCUAACAACUGGUUGGUCUGCAAUUGACGAACCAAUACAAAUUUUUCGUUACGUGCAUAUAUUCGAAAGAAUUCGAAAUUAAAUUAUCAUGUAUUACGGGCAGUUACGAUAGAGUGACACAAAGCAAUCUGUGUUUGAAUGCCUCCACUCGUGGACAAUAUCGAUAUAACCUAAAUGCGAUAAAUCGCGAACGUUUGAUUCGACUCAUGGGAAAUUUACGCGUUUUUGAAUCGUUCCGAGUCGCACGCGAAAUGCAGGUCAGAGAACCGUCUAAUAUUUAUUGUUGAGAUCGUGGGCUUGAUCUUAAUGGCGCGGCGGCACGCGAUUCUUUACCAACUAUGCUCCUUAACUCCAGCUCUCGACCUUCUUCCCUAUUCAACUAGCUCGAGCAGUGAAAUUGACUCUGCAUGCCUGUGAUUUUGGCAGGGAAUGGGAGUCGAGUUCGUAGUGAAUGCACAUUGUGUAUACGUGUUUUAGGUGGUUUGUGUGAGUUUGUUGCGGAGAUUCGAGACAUUUAUUUAACCUCUUUAUCAUAUUCGAGCCUGUGCGAUAUAACCAUAUCUUAAAUGUAAUAAGUUUUAUUUUUUAUUGCAAAGUUCUUGAAAUAUAUAAUGCACACAAUAAGUGUAUAAUAUUUUAUAUAUAUAUAUAUAAAUUAUAUUUAAGAAGUUUGGGAUAGUUUAAAGAUGAAAUAAAUUGCUUUUUAAGUUUAAUCUCUUACUCUCGACGAAAUCAAGUUUCUCUGGAAUUUGGUGGAGUUUAAGAUUUGAUAUCGGUGUCGUAGGAGUUAUGUGACACUUUAAGGUGGAAUAAAUCUAGCGAGGAGUUUAAGGUGCGGCAAAGGAGCGUGGAAUGUUGCAAUAGAAAUUUAUUGCAGUGUUAGUGCAUUGGUAGAUUGAUCAAAUUUACGUGUAGCGUGGGUAACCAAUGCUAAACCUUACGACGAAAAAUUAACGAAGUGGAAUAAAAAUGGCAUUGUGAUUCUUCUCGUCGUGUAUCGGUGUCACAUCAAAUUUAAGAGACAGUUUUACUUGCGGAUGCUGCGUGUUACGUUGGUGAAGUCGACGAAAGCGUAAAAUAGGAGCUCGUCCGAAAUACACUAACGCGGAAGGUUAAAUUUAACGCAAAAGGCCGAGAAAUUAGUCUAGAACUCGAAGUUUCAUUGGUACGACGCACUUGAAACGCAUUCAAAGAGGUCGGCGACCUCGAAAGGGGAUGAACGCAACUGUUUCGUGGGAAUUUCUUAUUGUGGCUUAUUUGGAUGAAGCUGCUUUAAAAUCAGCGCUGGAUUCGUCUGUUUUUUGCCCGGAAAUCAUAAAAUGUUUAGGCCAGGCGACUCCAUGUACAGAAAAUGUUAUGUCCACUUUUUACGUCCGUAGAAUUCAACUCUUUACUACUAUGCACUUCUUCUCCAAAAAAAUAUCGCGUUUCAAUAUUAAAAAAAGUUUCAAUAAUAUACUAUCCAUUAGAAGAAUGAUAACAUGAUAACCUUACAAAUUAUUAGUAUUAACAAAUUCUUAUUGUCGUAUAGAAAUGCCAACUAUUGCUUCGGUAAAACAAACAAAGGAAUUUUACAGAUGCAGGAAUCUUAGCCUCAUGAGAAAUUAGAGAU